rnacentral:rRNA from 1 species
GACGAACGCUGGCGGCGUGCUUAACACAUGCAAGUCGAACGGAAAGGCCCUGCUUUUGUGGGGUGCUCGAGUGGCGAACGGGUGAGUAACACGUGAGUAACCUGCCCUUGACUUUGGGAUAACUUCAGGAAACUGGGGCUAAUACCGGAUAGGAGCUCCUGCUGCAUGGUGGGGGUUGGAACGUUUCGGCGGUUGGGGAUGGACUCGCGGCUUAUCAGCUUGUUGGUUGGGUGGUGGCUUACCAAGGCUUGCACGGGUAGCCGGCCUGAGAGGGUGACCGGCCCCAUUAGGCCUGAGAUACGGCCCAGACUCCUACGGGAGGCAGCAGUGGGGAAUAUUGCACAAUGGGCGGAAGCCUGAUGCAGCAACGCCGCGUGCGGGAUGACGGCCUUCGGGUUGUAAACCGCUUUCGCCUGUGACGAAGCGUGAGUGACGGUAAUGGGUAAAGAAGCACCGGCUAACUACGUG